AUGCUACGGAAUCGAGCAGACGCCGCCGCCACAGCAGCAGGCAUCUCCCGCCUCCCGCCGGACAUGCUAGCCAACAUCCAAGCCCGCCUUUGCGUCAUCGACCGCCUCGCCUUCGCCGCCGCCUUCCGCAUGCCGGAGGCGCCGUGCCUCGUCUUGCCCGGCGACGCGUCGGUGAGUGCCACGCUCUUCUCGCUCGCGGACAGCCGCUCCGCCGCCGUGCGCACCACGGGCCCCGACCACCUCAUCCUGGGCUCCUCAUCCUCCCGUGUGUGGCUCGUCACCGCCGAUGUCUUCGCCCGGCUGCGCCUCGUCAACCCGGUCACCGGCGAGCUGCGCGCACUCCCUGCCAUCAAGACCAUCCCCUGCGUCGACCCCCAGCAUGGCUCCGUCUUCUCGUUUGAGGAGAAAUCAUUCAUUGGCCCCCCGCCGUACCCCAACGGAUUCGCCGCGAUGACCCCCAGCUCGAUGCGCCGCUUCUUCUACCGCAAGGUCGUCCUCUCUGACUCGGCCGGCAUUGCCAUGCUUAUCACUAAUCUACGGUACGGCGCCGUGGCCUUCGCCACGGCGAAGGGCCGUGUGUGGAGGCUGGUGCCCUCACGCCACGGCAUCGCCAAGGCCGGGACUAAGUGUGCCAGGUGGCCGAGGCCGCCCUCGCGCGACAGCAUCGAGGACGCUGUCCACCACGACGGCAGGUUCUACUCGAUCACUUACUCCGGCGAGGUGGAGGCGUGGGAGCAGGACGCCGAUGGUACCGGCGUGUUCACCAGGGUGGUGGUAGCACUAGGGCAGCCCUGGUUCGACCACUGCAAGUACCUGGUGACGGGGGCGGGCGGUCGGCUGAUGGUCGUGCUCAAGCAGUCUGAUAAGAUCACACAUCGGUUGACAUUCAAGGUGCAGGUCCUUGACGCUGGUGCCGAGCAAUGGAAGGAGGCGGGCGACAUUGGCGACUCCGCGCUGUUUGUUGGGGUGAAUGGUUCGCUGUGCGUGUCGACGCGGGAGCACCCUGAGCUUAGGGCCGGCUACGUCUACUACACUGCCGACGAUCUGUCGCUGUACUACCCUGACAACCAGCGUGGCGCCGGGUUGUUCAGCCUCAAGGACGGCAGGGAGGAGAAGGUCGAUGGCCUUGGGCCGCACCAGAACAAGCCGCCGCCGGCGUGGUUUGAUGAUUGA
rnacentral:rRNA from 1 species